GAAAGUUAACGUGUGUACUGUCGUUGAGAGAGGGAAGCUAUUUCUGGCAAGAAAUCAUUUUGUUUCUCAGGUUCCAUUUGUUUUACUUUACGGUGGACACCACAGACAUAAUAAGAAAAGAACACAGAAGAGAAGAAUAUCCAAUCAGCUCCCUGCAGAAGUUCAAUGUGAAAAGGGCUGAAGAGGCGUGCCUGGCAAGUACAAGCAGGAGAGGACAGAGGCAGAUACUGCCGGCAAAAAUCGUCUUUCUUGGGGUUCCUGGGAUCGUUGCCUCACUCAGAUGGCUUAGAGGCCACGAAAACGUCAAAGGACCAGCUGGACCCUCACAAGCUCGAUGUGCUCAUAGAUGGUGUCAGAAGUGGGAUGGCUUGCCGUGAGGUCACCUGAGCCGUGCCCAGAGUCCGAACCCUAUGAGGGACCCCCAUGGGUAACAUUAAUGAUGGGAUGUGUAUAGUGUACUUUUCAGUAAUACUGAUCAUAUGUCAUCAUUUUACUGAUUUUAUUUUUAUUUGAAGGUAUUUUGGGCAAGAUGUGAUACAUGCU